rnacentral:lncRNA from 1 species
GUUGUACAGCAGAUCUCUGGAGCUUAUUCAUCUUGUUUUACUGAAACUUCAUUCCUGCUGAUGAACAACUCCUCCUUUCCUGCUCCUCCCAGCCCAUGGUUUCUCUGAUUUUUGCCUCUCAUAAGCUAGGAAGCACCCCAGUGGAUCAUAAUAGGGGAUUUUCAUGGAUACCACAGCUUCUAUGAUUUCGCUGAGUCCCCACCCAAAUCUCAUCUUGAAUUGUAGUUCCCCAAAUUCCCACAUGUUGUGGGAGGAACCAGGUGGGGAUAAUUGAAUCAUGUGAGCACUUUUCCCCAUCCUGUUCUAGUGAUAGUGAAUUCGUUUUCAUGAGAUCUGAUGGUUUUAUAAGGGGCUUCCUCCUUCACUGGGCAUUCAUUCUUCUCUCUCCUGCCACCAUGUGAAGACAGACAUGUUUGUUUCCCCUUCCACAAUGAUUGUAAGUUUCCUGAAGCCUCUCCAGCCAUGCUGAAUUGUGAGUCAAUUAAACAUCUUUUCUUUGUAAAUUAUCCAGUCUUGGGUAUGUCUUUAUUAGCAUCGUGAGAACAGACUAAUACAGUCACUGAUUUCAUAAGCCAAUAGUUGAUGCUAUGUUAAAGCAACAUUUCUCAAAUGGCCCUAAGAGAAUUAGGUUGGAAAAAAUAGGGUUGUAUGGGACUCUACUGUACAGUACAGGACAGUUAGCCUCACGGGACUUUGGGCAUUACGUGUCAAUAGCACUCACCACUUGUUGUAAAAUGUAAAAUGCCUCCUCCAUUUUCCAAAUGCUUUUGGAGGGAGUUGCUGAGUAGCAACUGUGGCUGAGAAACUCCAAUUAAAAACAAAUAAAUAGAUAAUUUUAAAAAUCUUAUCAUGAGGUGCCAAAUGGUAAAAUAGCUGACCAAGUUGGUAUAAACCACCACAGAGAGGAA